GCGUGACUUUGCGGCCCAACCAGAGAAGCCCCAAGAAGGGAAGAAGCCCAAGCGAGUAUCCCAGCAACCACUUUGGCUGAAGGACUAUGUAGUGGGAUAGAGAAAGCUGAUUCGGUGGUCCCUGUUUGUUAGAGAAAACUGAUACUUUGUCGCUCAAUCCCUAGGUGUCUGUUUCUACUUUUCCCAGAAGGCCGUUGGCCAUAUAUAGGAUGUUUCCUUGUUUUCUCUAUUAUCAUGAAUGAAUAUUGAAGUUGUUGUCUCUCUUUCCAAGUUUUCUCUAUCUGUGUUCAGGAGUUUGUGCUCACUCGAAGAGCUCGUGAGUUUAGUCAUAUCAACUGGUGCUUUCAUUGUUCUCUCUCUGCCNUGCCACAGUCAAGGACUUCAUGUCCUCCGUAGCCCCAAGAAGGGAAGAAGCCCAAGCGAGUACCCCAGCAACCACUUUGGCUGAAGGACUAUGUAGUGGGAUAGGGAAAGCUGAUUCGGUGGUCCCUGUUUGUUAGAGAAAACUGAUACUUUGUCGCUCAAUCCCUAGGUGUCUGUUUCUACUUUUCCCAGAAGGCCGUUGGCCAUAUAUAGGAUGUUUCCUUGUUUUCUCUAUUAUCAUGAAUGAAUAUUGAAGUUGUUG
rnacentral:lncRNA from 1 species